CCUACGGGAGGCUGCAGUGAGGAAUAUUGGUCAAUGGGCGCGAGCCUGAACCAGCCAAGUAGCGUGAAGGAUGACUGCCCUACGGGUUGUAAACUUCUUUUAUCACGGAAUAAAAUGUUCCACGUGUGGGUUUUUGUAUGUACCAUAUGAAUAAGGAUCGGCUAACUCCGUGCCAGCAGCCGCGGUAAUACGGAGGAUCCGAGCGUUAUCCGGAUUUAUUGGGUUUAAAGGGAGCGUAGGUGGAUUGUUAAGUCAGUUGUGAAAGUUUGCGGCUCAACCGUAAAAUUGCAGUUGAAACUGGCAGUCUUGAGUACAGUAGAGGUAUGCGGAAUUCGUGGUGUAGCGGUGAAAUGCUUAGAUAGCACGAAGAACUCCGAUUGCGAAGGCAGUUCACUGGACUGCAACUGACACUGAGGCUCGAAAGUGUGGGUAUCAAACAGGAUUAGAUACCCUAGUAGUC
rnacentral:rRNA from 1 species